rnacentral:piRNA from 1 species
UGGCGUGGCCACCUCCCCUCCGGCGGC